rnacentral:tRNA from 1 species
UCCCUGGUAGUCCAAUAUUUAAGACUCUGUGCUUCCAAGGCAAGGGGCCCAGGUUCGAUCCUUGGUUGGGGAA